rnacentral:rRNA from 1 species
ACGCUGGCGGCGUGCUUAACACAUGCAAGUCGAACGAGAGCGUAGAGAAAGCUUGCUUUUUCUACAACCUAGUGGCAAACGGGUGAGUAACGCGUAAACAACCUGCCCUACGGAUGGGGACAACAGCUGGAAACGGCUGCUAAUACCGAAUACGUUCCGGAAGUCGCAUGACUAUCGGAGGAAAGGAUGGCCUCUAUUUAUAAGCUAUCGCCGGAGGAGGGGUUUGCGUCUGAUUAGCUAGUUGGAGGGGUAACGGCCCACCAAGGCGACGAUCAGUAGCCGGUCUGAGAGGAUGAACGGCCACAUUGGAACUGAGACACGGUCCAGACUCCUACGGGAGGCAGCAGUGGGGAAUCUUCCGCAAUGGGCGAAAGCCUGACGGAGCAACGCCGCGUGAGUGAAGACGGCCUUCGGGUUGUAAAGCUCUGUUAUACGGGACGAAUAAUCUUGUGGUUAAUACCCAUGAGAAGUGACGGCACCGUAAGAGAAAGCCACGGCUAACUACGUGCCAGCAGCCGCGGUAAUACGUAGGUGGCAAGCGUUGUCCGGAAUUAUUGGGCGUAAAGGGCGCGCAGGCGGCUUCUUAAGUCUGUCUUAAAAGUGCGGGGCUUAACCCCGUGAUGGGAUGGAAACUGGGAAGCUCAGAGUAUCGGAGAGGAAAGCGGAAUUCCUAGUGUAGCGGUGAAAUGCGUAGAUAUUAGGAGGAACACCAGUGGCGAAAGCGGCUUUUCUGGACGAAAACUGACGCUGAGGCGCGAAAGCCAGGGGAGCGAACGGGAUUAGAUACCCCGGUAGUCCUGGCCGUAAACGAUGGGUACUAGGUGUAGGAGGUAUCGACCCCUUCUGUGCCGGAGUUAACGCAAUAAGUACCCCGCCUGGGGAGUACGGCCGCAAGGUUGAAACUCAAAGG